GGAUCCAGACUUUGAUUCUGGCUCAUGAUGAACGCUAGCUACAGGCUUAACACAUGCAAGUCGAGGGGCAGCAUGAACUUAGCUUGCUAAGUUUGAUGGCGGCCGGCGCACGGGUGAGUAACACGUAUCCAACCUUCCGUUUACUCAGGGGUAGCCUUUCGAAAGAAAGAUUAAUACCUGAUAGUAUGGUGAGAUUGCAUGAUAGCACCAUUAAAGAUUUAUUGGUAAACGAUGGGGAUGCGUUCCAUUAGGUAGUAGGCGGGGUAACGGCCCACCUAGCCGACGAUGGAUAGGGGUUCUGAGAGGAAGGUCCCCCACAUUGGAACUGAGACACGGUCCAAACUCCUACGGGAGGCAGCAGUGAGGAAUAUUGGUCAAUGGGCGAGAGCCUGAACCAGCCAAGUAGCGUGAAGGAUGAAGGUCCUACGGAUUGUAAACUUCUUUUAUACGGGAAUAAAGUAUCCUACGUGUAGGAUUUUGUAUGUACCGUAUGAAUAAGCAUCGGCUAACUCCGUGCCAGCAGCCGCGGUAAUACGGAGGAUGCGAGCGUUAUCCGGAUUUAUUGGGUUUAAAGGGAGCGCAGACGGGAGAUUAAGUCAGUUGUGAAAGUUUGCGGCUCAACCGUAAAAUUGCAGUUGAUACUGGUUUCCUUGAGUGCAGUUGAGGCAGGCGGAAUUCGUGGUGUAGCGGUGAAAUGCUUAGAUAUCACGAAGAACCCCGAUUGCGGAGGCAGCUUGCUAAACUGUAACUGACGUUCAUGCUCGAAAGUGUGGGUAUCAAACAGGAUUAGAUACCCUGGUAGUCCACACGGUAAACGAUGGAUACUCGCUGUUGGCGAUAUACUGUCAGCGGCCAAGCGAAAGCAUUAAGUAUCCCACCUGGGGAGUACGCCGGCAACGGUGCAACUCAAAGGAAUUGACGG
rnacentral:rRNA from 1 species